rnacentral:rRNA from 1 species
UACGGGGGGAGCAAGCGUUGUUCGGAUUCAUUGGGCGUAAAGGGUGCGUAGGCGGCGGGGCAAGUCGGAUGUGAAAUCCCACGGCUCAACCGUGGAAGUGCAUUCGAAACUGCAGGGCUAGAGUCCUGGAGAGGAAGGUGGAAUGCUUGGUGGUAGAGGUGAAAUUCGUAGAUAUCAAGCGGAACACCGGUGGCGAAGGCGGCCUUCUGGACAGUGACUGACGCUGAGACGCGAAAGCGUGGGGAG